rnacentral:rRNA from 1 species
UACGGAGGGCGCAAGCGUUGUUCGGAAUCACUGGGCGUAAAGCGCGUGUAGGCGGCUUGGCAAGUCGGAUGUGAAAUCCCGAGGCUCAACCUCGGAACUGCACUCGAAACUGCCUGGCUCGAGUCCCGGAGAGGGUGGCGGAAUUCCCGGUGUAGGGGUGAAAGCCGUAGAUAUCGGGGGGAACACCAGUGGCGAAGGCGGCCACCUGGACGGUGACUGACGCUGAGACGCGAAAGCGUGGGGAGCAGACAGG